UGGGGUAUGGUGUAAUUGGCAGCACGGCAGAUUCUGGCUCUGUUGGUCUAGGUUCGAGUCCUGGUACCCCAGC
rnacentral:tRNA from 1 species